CCUACGGGUGGCAGCAGUGAGGAAUAUUGGUCAAUGGACGAGAGUCUGAACCAGCCAAGUAGCGUGAAGGAUGACUGCCCUAUGGGUUGUAAACUUCUUUUAUAUGGGAAUAAAAUGUUCCACGUGUGGGAUUUUGUAUGUACCAUAUGAAUAAGGAUCGGCUAACUCCGUGCCAGCAGCCGCGGUAAUACGGAGGAUCCGAGCGUUAUCCGGAUUUAUUGGGUUUAAAGGGAGCGUAGGUGGAUUGUUAAGUCAGUUGUGAAAGUUUGCGGCUCAACCGUAAAAUUGCAGUUGAAACUGGCAGUCUUGAGUACAGUAGAGGUGGGCGGAAUUCGUGGUGUAGCGGUGAAAUGCUUAGAUAUCACGAAGAACUCCGAUUGCGAAGGCAGUUCACUGGACUGCAACUGACACUGAGGCUCGAAAGUGUGGGUAUCAAACAGGAUUAGAUACCCUUGUAUC
rnacentral:rRNA from 1 species